AUUGAACGCUGGCGGCAGGCCUAACACAUGCAAGUCGAGCGGCAGCGGGAAAGUAGCUUGCUACUUUUGCCGGCGAGCGGCGGACGGGUGAGUAAUGCCUGGGAAAUUGCCCAGUCGAGGGGGAUAACAGUUGGAAACGACUGCUAAUACCGCAUACGCCCUACGGGGGAAAGCAGGGGACCUUCGGGCCUUGCGCGAUUGGAUAUGCCCAGGUGGGAUUAGCGAGGUGGUGAGGUAAUGGGUCACCAAGGCGACGAUCCCUAGCUGGGCUGAGAGGAUGAUCAGCCACACUGGAACUGAGACACGGUCCAGACUCCGACGGGAGGCAGCAGUGGGGAAUAUUGCACAAUGGGGGAAACCCUGAUGCAGCCAUGCCGCGUGUGUGAAGAAGGCCUUCGGGUUGUAAAGCACUUUCAGCGAGGAGGAAAGGUUGGCGCCUAAUACGUGUCAACUGUGACGUUACUCGCAGAAGAAGCACCGGCUAACUCCGUGCCAGCCGCCGCGGUAAUAC
rnacentral:rRNA from 1 species